UUGUUGGUUAUUGUUGUUAAUCCCUCACUGUGUCUAAUUUAUAAGUUAAACUUUAUCAUAGGUAUGUAUAGGAAAAAAAAACAUAGUAUAUAAAGGGCUUAGUACUAUCUUCAGUUUCUGGCAUCCACUGGGGGUCUUGGAACACAUCCCCUGUGGACAGGGGGAACUAUUGUAUGCAAUUCUAAGUCAGCUCCUAUUUUUCUCUUGGCCCUAUUUAGUUGCUUUUUGGAUUUUUGACUACAGAGCUUAUAUUUCUUGCAAUUUUGUCUGUGAGAAUUUGUUGUAGCUUGAGAUGAAGGUGGCUUCCUCUAGAGAUGAUCUGCUCUUCUUUCUUCCAGGUACAAUCAGGAGGUACCACCAGCACAGGACUACUUGAAUCCAAAUAGUGUGCAGUUUUUCACAUCACCCAGAAAUGGACACCUUGCUGAAACUUUCAGGGAUGGUCAGAGAGCCGAUCUGUGAGUGGACAGCUCACAGGGACACCGAUGAUUGGGCUCUCUAGUGCUCGGCUCAGGACCUAAAAGGGAAGGAAGAGAGAAAUUUGGACACAGACAUACAGACACAGAGAGAAGAUGGCC